rnacentral:rRNA from 1 species
GGGGAGUACGCCGGCAACGGUGAAACUCAAAGGAAUUGACGGGGGCCCGCACAAGCGGAGGAACAUGUGGUUUAAUUCGAUGAUACGCGAGGAACCUUACCCGGGCUUGAAUUGCAGAGGAAGUAUUUAGAGAUAAUGACGCCCUUCGGGGUCUCUGUGAAGGUGCUGCAUGGUUGUCGUCAGCUCGUGCCGUGAGGUGUCGGCUUAAGUGCCAUAACGAGCGCAACCCCUCUCUUCAGUUGCCAUCAGGUGAUGCUGGGCACUCUGGAGACACUGCCACCGUAAGGUGUGAGGAAGGUGGGGAUGACGUCAAAUCAGCACGGCCCUUACGUCCGGGGCUACACACGUGUUACAAUGGCCGGUACAGAGGGACGGUGUAAUGCAAAUUGCAUCCAAUCUUGAAAGCCGGUCCCAGUUCGGACUGGGGUCUGCAACCCGACCCCACGAAGCUGGAUUCGCUAGUAAUCGCGCAUCAGCCAUGGCGCGGUGAAUACGUUCCCGGGCCUUGUACACACCGCCCGUCAAGCCAUGAAAGCCGGGGGUGCCUAAGUCCGUGACCGCAAGGAUCGGCCUAGGGCAAAAUCAAUCAGGGGUAAGUCGUAACAAGGUACGCUCGUAGAG